rnacentral:rRNA from 1 species
GACGAACGCUGGCGGCGUGCUUAACACAUGCAAGUCGAACGGAAAGGCCCUGCUUUUGUGGGGUGCUCGAGUGGCGAACGGGUGAGUAACUCGUGAGUAACCUGCCCUUGACUUUGGGAUAACUUCAGGAAACUGGGGCUAAUACCGGAUAGGAGCUCCUGCUGCAUGGUGGGGGUUGGAAAGUUUCGGCGGUUGGGGAUGGACUCGCGGCUUAUCAGCUUGUUGGUGGGGUAGUGGCUUACCAAGGCUUUGACGGGUAGCCGGCCUGAGAGGGUGACCGGCCACAUUGGGACUGAGAUACGGCCCAGACUCCUACGGGAGGCAGCAGUGGUGAAUAUUGCACAAUGGGCGGAAGCCUGAUGCAGCAACGCCGCGUGCGGGAUGACGGCCUUCGGGUUGUAAACCGCUUUCGCCUGUGACGAAGCGUGAGUGACGGUAAUGGGUAAAGAAGCACCGGCUAACUACGUG